GACAUGUGGAGCCAGAAGUACCUGGGGUUACGUUUCCCAGGGUGAGGGUUGGGGGCUUAGUCAAUAACUGCCUGGUGCUGGCGUGUGAAAACCAAGCUUCCUUGCCUCCAGUUGAAACAAACUGAGUUAUAAUUUAUACUUUGGAGCUCCCCUGAAGGAUCAUGCUGAAGCUGGGAGUUGGCUUGGAAUAGCAUCCUUGUUUGGCUUCUUCCCCUUCCCUGGCCUGCUUCUCACACUCCCUUCCUGGUUUCUCCAAGGAGCAUGAAAGACAGAAACUAAGACAGCAUUCAGGCUUUUGAAAUGAAGAUGUUGGGAUUCAAAAUUGGACAAUGUUGUCAGCAGGGAGACGCCUGGAAGCAGAAGAAUAUUUAUGGUGUGAAGUCUGAGAGGGCUAACAUGGGACUCAAUAACAAAUACCUGGAUGAGUGGCUUUGGAAGUAGAUACAGGAGCUGGAAAACGAGCAAGGGAGUAAAAGCAGUGGAUGCUCGGAGACCACAGGGGACACCUAACUCCUUAGAGCUUCCAACUUCCCUCAGCCACUGGUGGAAUCCCCAUGCAGAAUUAGGAAGAUCAGAGAGGAGGAAUUUCUCUCUUAACCUGUGGUGGUGUUUUGUAUUUGCUUUUUAAUGCUGGGAUCCCUCGGGCAUUCCUCUGGUAUCCGUGGGGUACUCUUGAG
rnacentral:lncRNA from 1 species